GCUCCGUUGGUGAACCAGCGGAGGGAUCAUUACAGGUCUCGCAAGACUCCUUCACCCUGUGAACCCCACAACAAGCACGUUGCUUCGGCGGGUCUCCCGGCGGGGGUUUCCCCGCGCCGGGGCGCACAGCCCGCCGGCAGCCCACUAUACUCUGUCUCUUUGCGUUGGCAUCUCUAGAAAAAACAAACAAGUUAAAACUUUCAACAACGGAUCUCUUGGUUCUG
rnacentral:misc_RNA from 1 species